rnacentral:rRNA from 1 species
UACGUAGGGCGCGAGCGUUGUCCGGAAUUAUUGGGCGUAAAGAGCUCGUAGGCGGCCGGUUGCGUCUGCUGUGAAAUCCCGGGGCUUAACCCCGGGCGUGCAGUGGAUACGGGCCGGCUGGAGGCAGGCAGGGGAGAAUGGAAUUCCCGGUGUAGCGGUGAAAUGCGCAGAUAUCAGGAGGAACACCAAUGGCGAAGGCAGCUCGCUGGAACGGUACUGACGCUGAGGCGCGAAAGCGUGGGGAGCGAACAGG